UUACUUUACACUGCAAUCCAAGUCCACUUAGGCACGAACACUUAGUUUUCACUAUUCACUAUUCACAACUUCACAAGUAACUAUACUGUCUUUAGCACUUACUUUCUUCUUUCCCGGGUUUCGGCACCAGAAUGUUGCUGCGUAAUACUUCACUUCACUCACUCACUCUAAAUAAUACACCUCUGCUGUUGGAACUGUUUUAUUGAAAUUAAACUUGACCUAUAUAUUACAUUUUAAAGAAAACGUUCGCGCGAUUUAAUUGCAUUGUA
rnacentral:misc_RNA from 1 species